GACGAACGCUGGCGGCGUGCCUAAUACAUGCAAGUAGGACGCUGAAGGAGGAGCUUGCUUCUCUGGAUGAGUUGCGAACGGGUGAGUAACGCGUAGGUAACCUGCCUGGUAGCGGGGGAUAACUAUUGGAAACGAUAGCUAAUACCGCAUAAGAGUAGAUGUUGCAUGACAUUUACUUAAAAGGUGCAAUUGCAUCACUACCAGAUGGACCUGCGUUGUAUUAGCUAGUUGGUGAGGUAACGGCUCACCAAGGCAACGAUACAUAGCCGACCUGAGAGGGUGAUCGGCCACACUGGGACUGAGACACGGCCCAGACUCCUACGGGAGGCAGCAGUAGGGAAUCUUCGGCAAUGGACGGAAGUCUGACCGAGCAACGCCGCGUGAGUGAAGAAGGUUUUCGGAUCGUAAAGCUCUGUUGUAAGAGAAGAACGAGUGUGAGAGUGGAAAGUUCACACUGUGACGGUAGCUUACCAGAAAGGGACGGCUAACUACGUG
rnacentral:rRNA from 1 species